GACCUUCGGGUCUAGUGGCGCACGGGUGCGUAACGCGUGGGAAUCUGCCCUUGGGUUCGGGAUAACAGUUGGAAACGACUGCUAAUACCGGAUGAUGACUUCGGUCCAAAGAUUUAUCGCCCAGGGAUGAGCCCGCGUCGGAUUAGCUAGUUGGUGAGGUAAGAGCUCACCAAGGCGACGAUCCGUAGCUGGUCUGAGAGGAUGAUCAGCCACACUGGGACUGAGACACGGCCCAGACUCCUACGGGAGGCAGCAGUGGGGAAUAUUGGACAAUGGGCGAAAGCCUGAUCCAGCAAUGCCGCGUGAGUGAUGAAGGCCUUGGGG
rnacentral:rRNA from 1 species